rnacentral:rRNA from 1 species
UACGAAGGGGGCUAGCGUUGUUCGGAAUUACUGGGCGUAAAGCGCGCGCAGGCGGUCUUCCAAGUCAGUGGUGAAAGCCCGGAGCUCAACUCCGGAACUGCCAUUGAAACUGUUAGACUUGAGGACGAGAGAGGUGAGUGGAAUUCCCAGUGUAGAGGUGAAAUUCGUAGAUAUUUGGGAAGAACACCGGUGGCGAAGGCGGCUCACUGGCUCGUUUCUGACGCUCAGGCGCGACAGCGUGGGAUCAAACAGG